GCGACAAACAAACGUACAAUUAAGAAAACUGAUAAAACGGACAGAGAUUUAUUCAGACCGAACUCGGUGCUUAAGACAAAACCGCCUCCUUAAGAUUUCGUGUAUUCUAAUCCUUUUCCCGGUCAACAAACAAAAAAAAAAACUAAACUCCACGACAUCGUUUCAAAAGAAACUGAAGGUUACGCGCGAAGUAGUUAGCGCGUAUAGGUAAAAAACAAACAGAGGAUUAUUUGCCUCGUCUCUCUCUCUCUCUCUCUCUCUCUCUCUCUCUCUCUCUCUCUCUCUCUCUCUCUCUCGAUUUUUCCGUCAAAAUAGAAUCGAAGAGGAAGAGAGGAUAAAAGAAAACAAAAACAAGAAAGUACAAUUUUUUUUCAGAUACAGAACUUCUUCUUCUAAAUCCUCUGUUUUAUUUCUUCUUCUAUGUUUCAUAUAAAUAAAUUGUUGGAACUCGUUUUUGACAAAAUAGUUUUAGAUCAUUUGUGGUAAGUUUCCGAGCG
rnacentral:lncRNA from 1 species